rnacentral:rRNA from 1 species
UGUCUGGAAUAAUACGCCAAAGGGGUACUAAUACCGGAUAUCUUGCUUUUCAUAAGUUAUGGCAAGCAAAGGUGGCCUCUGCAUAUGCUACUGCAUGAAGAGGGGUCUGCGUACCAUUAGCUAGUAGGUGGGGUAAUGGCCUACCUAGGCGACGAUGGUUAGCGGGUCUGAGAGGAUGAUCCGCCACACUGGCACUGGAACACGGGCCAGACUCCUACGGGAGGCAGCAGUGAGGAAUAUUGCGCAAUGGGGGAAACCCUGACGCAGCGACGCCGCGUUGAGUGAGGAAGGCCUUCGGGUCGUAAAGCUCUGUCAAGAGGAAAGAAGUGUACAAUGGCUAAUACCUGUUGUAUUUGACGGUACCUCUAAAGGAAGCACCGGCUAACUCCGUGCCAGCCGCCGC